rnacentral:rRNA from 1 species
AUUGAACGCUGGCGGCAGGCUUAACACAUGCAAGUCGAGCGGGGUGAUGGUGCUUGCACUAUCACUUAGCGGCGGACGGGUGAGUAAUGCUUAGGAAUCUGCCUAUUAGUGGGGGACAACAUCUCGAAAGGGAUGCUAAUACCGCAUACGUCCUACGGGAGAAAGCAGGGGAUCACUUGUGACCUUGCGCUAAUAGAUGAGCCUAGGUCGGAUUAGCUAGUUGGUGGGGUAAAGGCCUACCAAGGCGACGAUCUGUAGCGGGUCUGAGAGGAUGAUCCGCCACACUGGGACUGAGACACGGCCCAGACUCCUACGGGAGGCAGCAGUGGGGAAUAUUGGACAAUGGGGGGAACCCUGAUCCAGCCAUGCCGCGUGUGUGAAGAAGGCCUUAUGGUUGUAAAGCACUUUAAGCGAGGAGGAGGCUCUUUUGGUUAAUACCCAAGAUGAGUGGACGUUACUCGCAGAAUAAGCACCGGCUAACUCUGUGCCAGCAGCCGCGGUAA